CACGUAGGGCGCGAGCGUUGUCCGGAAUUAUUGGGCGUAAAGAGCUCGUAGGCGGCCUGUUGCGUCCGCUGUGAAAGCCCGGGGCUUAACCCCGGGUCGGCAGUGGAUACGGGCAGGCUAGAGGUAGGUAGGGGAGAAUGGAAUUCCUGGUGUAGCGGUGAAAUGCGCAGAUAUCAGGAGGAACACCGGUGGCGAAGGCGGGUCUCUGGGCCGAAAUUGACGCUGAGGAGCGAAAGCGUGGGGAGCAAACAGG
rnacentral:rRNA from 1 species